CCUACGGGAGGCAGCAGUGAGGAAUAUUGGUCAAUGGACGCAAGUCUGAACCAGCCAUGCCGCGUGCAGGAAGACGGCUCUAUGAGUUGUAAACUGCUUUUGUACGAGGGUAAACUCAGAUACGCGUGUCUGUCUGAAAGUAUCGUACGAAUAAGGACCGGCUAAUUCCGUGCCAGCAGCCGCGGUAAUACGGAGGAUCCAAGCGUUAUCCGGAUUUAUUGGGUUUAAAGGGUGCGUAGGCGGUCGCUUAAGUUAGAGGUGAAAUCCCGAGGUUCAACUUUGGAAUUGCCUCUGAUACUGGUGGGCUAGAGAGCACCUGCGGUAGGCGGAAUGCAUGGUGUAGCGGUGAAAUGCUUAGAGAUCAUACAGAACACCGAUUGCGAAGGCAGCUUACCAUGGUAUUUCUGACGUUGAGGCACGAAGGCGUGGGGAGCAAACAGGAUUAGAUACCCGUGUAGUC
rnacentral:rRNA from 1 species